AACGAACGCUGGCGGCAUGCCUAACACAUGCAAGUCGAACGAGAUCUUCGGGUCUAGUGGCGCACGGGUGCGUAACGCGUGGGAAUCUGCCCUUUGGUUCGGAAUAACAGUUGGAAACGACUGCUAAUACCGGAUGAUGACGAAAGUCCAAAGAUUUAUCGCCAGAGGAUGAGCCCGCGUAGGAUUAGCUAGUUGGUGUGGGAAAGGCGCACCAAGGCGACGAUCCUUAGCUGGUCUGAGAGGAUGAUCAGCCACACUGGGACUGAGACACGGCCCAGCCUGCUACGGGAGGCUGCAGUGGGGAAUAUUGGACAAUGGGCGAAAGCCUGAUCCACCAAUGCCGCGUGAGUGAUGAAGGCCUUAGGGUUGUAAAGCUCUUUUACCCGGGAUGAUAAUGACAGUACCGGGAGAAUAAGCUCCGGCUAACUCCGUGCCAGCAGCCGCGGUAA
rnacentral:rRNA from 1 species